rnacentral:rRNA from 1 species
GACGAACGCUGGCGGCGUGCUUAACACAUGCAAGUCGAGCGAUGAAGCUUCUUCGGAAGUGGAUUAGCGGCGGACGGGUGAGUAACACGUGGGUAACCUGCCUCAUAGAGGGGAAUAGCCUUCCGAAAGGAAGAUUAAUACCGCAUAAGAUUGUAGCUUCGCAUGAAGCAGCAAUUAAAGGAGCAAUCCGCUAUGAGAUGGACCCGCGUCGCAUUAGCUAGUUGGUGAGGUAACGGCUCACCAAGGCGACGAUGCGUAGCCGACCUGAGAGGGUGAUCGGCCACAUUGGGACUGAGACACGGCCCAGACUCCUACGGGAGGCAGCAGUGGGGAAUAUUGCACAAUGGGGGAAACCCUGAUGCAGCAACGCCGCGUGAGUGAUGACGGUCUUCGGAUUGUAAAGCUCUGUCUUUAGGGACGAUAAUGACGGUACCUAAGGAGGAAGCCACGGCUAACUACGUGCCAGCCGCCGCCGUAA